rnacentral:rRNA from 1 species
AGAGCGAACGCUGGCGGCGUGCUUAACACAUGCAAGUCGAGUGCGCAGUCUUCUGUAGCAAUACAGGAGACUGGCGCACGGCGCACGGGUGAGUAACACGUGGGCAACCUGCCCUGCAGAGGGGGAUAACCCGCCGAAAGGCGGGCUAAUACCGCAUGAAAUUCCGGUGGCUGCGGCUGCUGGAUUCAAAGUCCGCAAGGACGCUGGUGGGAGGGCCUGCGCCGAUUAGCUAGUUGGUGAGGUAACGGCUCACCAAGGCUAUGAUCGGUA